CUCCAAGCCUGACCUAUCUUGGACAGGUUUGGAGGGUACAGGAUUCAAACAAGCAGACUGCCACGGUCAGGAAAAACAGGCUUUACAAAACCUGAUGAGCCAUAAUAAACAUUUAGUGGAGAUUGACCCACUGACCGCCCGAUCCUGGAUGUGUCUGAUGUCCCUUGAUCAACUGGUUAAGUGCAGCCUCAUCACGAACACCCAGUUGUUGGACUUCCUUCAUAUCUUUUACGCAAAGACUCUCGACAUCACCUACAGCAAUAACGAGGUUGUAUCCGACAUUCUCUCGCAUGUUCAGCAGUGUCUUAUUGAGCACAAGUACAGUUCUUCUAGCAUAGUUUACGGCAGAGAGUGCGUCACAGCAGCGGUGAAAAUGCUGGAGAAGAUCUGCAAAAUGGUCAAACAUAGUCAGGCCUUCGCGGAAAUUCCAGUGGCGUGCUUGAAUCUCGUCGCACUGGUUGCUGACUUCCGAGACCAGAACCAGGUGGCUCAAGAUGGGACAAAUGACGAGCAGUACGCAAAAGACCUGGAGCUGUUACACCAAGCAAUGACCAUCAUGAGAGGCUGGAUCUGUCAGACCUUCAAGAAGACUUCCUUUCUUAAUUCCAACUUCCUCUCAGGCAAUAGUUCUGAGAAUGAAAUACAAAUGUGGGAAAAUGUAAUCACGCUCAAUUUAAAAAAUGAAGAUUUUAAAAUGGAAUGGAGGAAGACGUUCACAGGGGAUUUGGAGGGCACAUUCCAGAAGGUAUC
ensembl:lncRNA